rnacentral:tRNA from 1 species
GAGGGUGUAGCUCAGUGAUAGAGCGUGUGCUGCACAUGCACAAGGUCCUGGGUUCAAUCCCCAGUGCCGCCA